AGCAGAGUGGCGCAGUGGAAGCGUGCUGGGCCCAUAACCCAGAGGGCCGUGGAUCGGAACCAUGCUCUGCUA
rnacentral:tRNA from 1 species